rnacentral:SRP_RNA from 1 species
GCCUGGUCCCCCCGCAAUGAUAAGUUGUGAAUCCCGUCAGGUCCGGAAGGAAGCAGCGGUAACGACUGAUGCAUGUGCCGGGGUGUGGCUGGGCGCU